rnacentral:rRNA from 1 species
CGGCCUACGGGGCGCAGCAGUGGGGGAUAUUGCACCAUGGGGGGAACCCUGAUGCAGCGACGCCGCGUGGGUGAAGAAGCGCCUCGGCGCGUAAAGCCCUGUCAGCAGGGAAGAAAAUGACGGUACCUGAAGAAGAAGCCCCGGCUAACUACGUGCCAGCAGCCGCGGUAAUACGUAGGGGGCCAGCGUUAUCCGGAUUUACUGGGUGUAAAGGGGGGGCCGACGGCGAUGCAAGCCAGGAGUGAAAGCCCGGGGCCCAACCCCGGGACUGCUCUUGGAAUUGCGUGGCUGGAGUGCAG